rnacentral:rRNA from 1 species
GACGUAGGGGGCGAGCGUUGUCCGGAUUUAUUGGGCGUAAAGCGUGCGUAGGCGGCUGCGCAAGUCGGUUGUGAAACCCCGGGGCUCAACCCCGGAACUGCAUCCGAUACUGCGUGGCUAGAGGUAGGUAGGGGAGAUCGGAAUUCCUGGUGUAGCGGUGAAAUGCGCAGAUAUCAGGAGGAACACCGGUGGCGAAGGCGGAUCUCUGGGCCUUACCUGACGCUGAGGAGCGAAAGCGUGGGGAGCGAACAGG